AAGACUAUACUUUCGGGAAUCAUUUCUAUAGUUUGUUACUAGAUUUGAAAAAGAGCAAGGGCUGAAACAACUAUUUUAUUUAUGUACAUAGA
ensembl:snoRNA U3 Small nucleolar RNA U3